AGAGUUUGAUCCUGGCUCAGGACGAACGCUGGCGGCGUGCUUAACACAUGCAAGUCGAGCGGAAAGGCCCUUCGGGGUACUCGAGCGGCGAACGGGUGAGUAACACGUGAGUAACCUGCCCCCUUCUCUGGGAUAAGCCUGGGAAACUGGGUCUAAUACCGGAUAUGACAUGUUCUCGCAUGGGGAUGUGUGGAAAGUUU
rnacentral:rRNA from 1 species